CCCAACACACAUGCACUGUGGAUCUCAAUGCCUUCAGCAAGAUCCAGGGAAGAGGAAAGUCACUCAGGGAGAGUCCCAUGCCAUCAGGUUAUUUACCGAGUGAUCACAGCUCUCCCUGCGUCCACAGGCCUAGCCCUGGGAGGUAGCAGAGGAGUUUGGUUGUUGGUAGUGGCCACAGGCUGUGACUUGUGGGGAGGGACUGAGCUCAUGAGUACAACCCACCAUGAAAGUCAUGUCUUAAAAGAUGUAGUGUGAGCCGUGGGAAUCUCUUCCAGUGAGAAUGAGAAAAUGCCCAUGUCUGUCCAAAUCCAGAGAGAAGCCAUCAGUUAAGGAGAGUUUAUCAGAUUUGCAGAAAACUGCAAUGAUCAAGAUGUCCCUUGUAUGCCUCACCAAUGGCUAAUGGUACAACUCCAGUACAAAAUCAGAACCAGGACAUGGACACUGGGUCAGUGUGUGUCCUGGGCCAUUUCCUAACAUAUGUAGAUCUGUGUAGCCACCACUGUGAGCAUAUCCUGCCACUACAAAGAAUAUAGUCACUCCUUUUAUUGGGUCCUCAGGGUGUUCCAGGUACAAUACUAAGUGUGAUCUUGUUCUACCAAAUAGAGUCCAUAACUGUCUCCACUUCACACCUCAGAAGACAGGACUCCAGAUGGUCUCAUUUCUCACCGUGUCUCAGUUGGUAAGUAGCAGAGAGCUUGAUCAGUAGGCCUGGUGUCUCCAUCACAUAGCCAAACACACCAUGCCAAACCAGGGUGCUAAGAACCAGGGUGAGAUUCCAGGAAGUACAGGCAGCCAAGAGAAGCAUAUAGGCUUAGGAAGGAGUGGAGAGGUGUCAGGUGGGGCAAUGUUACUCAAAGGUGUUCACAGGCAAGUCAGGUCACUCAAGAAGCGUCCAUUUGGAUCUGAGAUGAAUUGUUUGAAGAUGGACUUGUCUGUGGCAGCUUGUAAAAGUCAGGGGGUCUGCUGUCUGCAGAGGAGACACCUCCAGAUUUUGCUAUGGUUGGAGGAAAGGGCAGAGCAGAAUAGCAGGCGACUGUAAGAGGACACCCCCAUUAGAGGAGAACUUUGGCUACAGACAAGCAUAUAGAGGGGCUGUGGCCCCAUUUCUUCUCCCAUUUGUCCCCUGCAAAGAAGAGAAGAACUGGAGCCCAGAAAUGUAGGCUAAAGAAGGAAGAUACUCCUCCUUUUCACGAGUAACAAACAGUCGGCCAAAGUCUACCCUUGCAGGACCUCCCACUGCGGGGGUGGUGACGUACAAGGAGCAAUGCUUCAGGAAUUCAGUUUGGCAGAUCUGUACAAGUCUACAACAAGUUCCACGGGGUAGGAUUGCGUCUCACAUCUCUCUUGGCAUUUGCUGGCGAUGACUGAUGAAAGGAGCAGGCUCCUCCACACUGCAGGUGCCUGCCCUGUGCUUCCCACCAUGCUCCUCACCAGCGGGAAACCUGGGGGAGUCUCUGAACCUCAGUUUCCCUGGUUGAGAAACAGGGGUGGUAAUAACAAAACCUCCCUCCUGGGGUGGCUGGGAGGAUUCCCUGGGAACAGCCAGGUUUUGAAAAUUGUAUCGCCCUCUCGAAUGUUUGUUAACAUUGCCACGGUGCCACGAGAGAGGCGGAGGUCCUAGGAAGGAAGAGCGGGGAACACGGACCGACAAAGUGGGGCAAGCAGAAACCAAGCCAUUGAGGAGCUAAUAAGAAGUUAAUGGGAGCAAUUUCCAGAUCCGUCAACAAACACGGGCAUGACUAAAACUAGAACCCAAUUUAGGGGUGGCCUCUAAGAAGCUGCUGAUGGAAGAGGAAAUGGGCGGGGGGGUUAGAAGCAAAAAUAUCACUCAGGGACACAGAAGUCCUGUGGGGGAAGUGCCACUUCCAGAAUGGAUAAGCUUAUUACAGAAUUUUUUGCUGGUG
rnacentral:lncRNA from 1 species